AAAUACAGUAAACUUACCAUUGGUAUCAUCUCAGAAAACAAUUGAUUUAUCGGAUAGUUUUAUCUAUAUAUGCGGUGGAAAUGAUGGGACAUCUGUAUUGUCUGAAUGUUAUAAAUAUAAUACACACACAAGUGUUUGGCAAUCAGUAAAAUCAAUGUCUACUCCGAGGCAUUAUUUUAGUUUGAUUUCAAUGGAUUCAAAAUUGUAUGCAAUCGGCGGCAGUAAUAAUGAAAACAAAUUGAAUAGCAUUGAAACAUAUGAUACACAAACAUAUCAAUGGAAAUCAAUUGCAUCCAUGAAUAUAAUACGCAGUCAGCAUGAUGCAACUGUAUUAGAAAAUAAUUUAUAUGUAUGUGGUGGUUUUGAUAAGGA